AAUACAUGUUGGGGGCACUUCCAACGUAAUUCCAUGAAUCUCUCCUAAGCUUCAUAAAUUGAUUCUUCAUUUUGUUGGGUGAAUAAGAUAAUGUCAUUUUUAAGUUU